CUGGAAUACAUUUAAUUCCUUCAGAAGCGUGAGGAAAACUUCGUGCCUGUGAAUCUGCUGGUGAGCUGUGCAAACAUCUCCUGGACUGUGGUGUCAGGUGGUCUCGCCUGCCUGCUCCUGCAUGGGGCCAAGGAGAGAAUUCAGCAGGCUGAAAGCAGGCUCCAUCCUGCUGCUGCCUUUUACAUGCGGGGAGAGCUUGGGCAGCACGUCAGCUUAUCAGCCUUCUGGGAGCACAAUUAAAGAGAGAAGAUGUUCUGUCUUCGAAGCCAUCAGUGGCUCCUCUUUGGUCUUGAGCAAGACAGAUGCUGCUCAGACUUUUGGACCAUAUUGGCAGUUCCAGGACUGGAGGGUCAUCUGAGGUUAAAAAUAAACCCAAACCACCAAACUAAAAAGUCCUGCCAUCUACAAACCAGCUCACAGGAGAUUGAUUUGUGAGAUGAGCUGUCGUGCACCGAUAGACCUCUCUGAUAAACCCUGAUACUUGCUGUGUGAUUCUGGAGAAGAAAUGCAAUGAUCCAUCAGAACCUGUCCCUCCCUGACCACUGAAGAACUGUUUCCCAGAAGAUGGAGCUCUUUCCCCAAGACUGGUGAUGAUGGAGACCUUUGCUCUGUUUCAGCAGAGUCAUGAAUGAUAUUCUCAGGAGCUGACCUGCAGCAAAAUCUAUCCUGGGAGAACAAACCAGAUACGGAUCAUCUGCUGGGGAUUAAUGGAUCAAAAAUACCUGCUUUACUGGAAGAGAUAAACCCCAAAGCAGAACAAGAUGUUAUGCUGGACAGUUUACAGAAGCUACACUGUGCAUAGUGAAAAGUCCUUUUGCAAAAGAGCACACUAGAGUGGGAUCUUUCAUUAAGGAAUGCUGGCCAGCUUUUCCUGUCAACCUACUUUGUCCUCAGGAUUUGGCUAGCUACAGGAAACUAUUCUUGGGUCUACUUCUCCUGGAAAAGGUCACACAAAUACUCAAAACAUGUUAUGCACAGCUUUUGCAGUGCAUUUAAGACCUGAUCAAACUGUACCAAGGAAAUGAACUACUUUAAAAAUAGAUUAAAUUAGUUUUGGAA